GACGAACGCUGGCGGCGUGCCUAAUACAUGCAAGUAGAACGCUGAAGGAGGAGCUUGCUUCUCUGGAUGAGUUGCGAACGGGUGAGUAACGCGUAGGUAACCUGCCUGGUAGCGGGGGAUAACUAUUGGAAACGAUAGCUAAUACCGCAUAAUAGUAGAUGUUGCAUGACAUUUGCUUAAAAGGUGCAAUUGCAUCACUACCAGAUGGACCUGCGUUGUAUUAGCUAGUUGGUGGGGUAACGGCUCACCAAGGCGACGAUACAUAGCCGACCUGAGAGGGUUGACGGGCACAACGGGAACGGGGAACGGCCCAGACGCCCACGGGAGGCAGCAGUAGGGAAUCCUCGGCAAUGGGCGGAAGUCUGACCGAGCAAAGCCGCGUGAGUGAAGAAGGGUUUCGGAUCGUAAAGCUCCGUUGUAAGGGAAGAAAGAGUUGGAGAGGGGAAAGUGCACAUUGUGACGGUAGCUUAUCAGAAAGGGACGGCUAACUACGUG
rnacentral:rRNA from 1 species